GCCUGGGUGGCUCAAUCGGUUGGGUGUCUGACUUUGGCUCAGGUCAUGAUCUCGCGUUUCAUGGGUUCGAGCCCCAUGUCGGGCU
rfam:Felis catus isolate Cinnamon breed Abyssinian chromosome C2, whole genome shotgun sequence.